rnacentral:rRNA from 1 species
GACGAACGCUGGCGGCGUGCUUAACACAUGCAAGUCGAACGGAAAGGCCCCUUUGGGGGUCCUCGAGUGGCGAACGGGUGCGUAACACGUGAGUAACCUGCCCUUGACUUCGGGAUAACUUCAGGAAACUGGGGCUAAUACCGGAUAGGAAUCCUUGCUGCAUGGUGGGGGUUGGAAAGCUUCGGCGGUUUUGGAUGGACUCGCGGCUUAUCAGCUUGUUGGUGGGGUAGUGGCUUACCAAGGCUUUGACGGGAAGCCGGCCUGAGAGGGCGACCGGCCACAUUGGGACCGAGGGACGGCCCAGACUCCGACGGGAGGCAGCAGGGGGGAAGAUUGCACAAUGGGCGGAAGCCUGAUGCAGCAACGCCGCGUGCGGGAUGACGGCCUUCGGGUUGUAAACCGCUUUCAGCAGGGGCGAAGCUUGUGGUGACGGUACCUGCAGAAGAAGCACCGGCUAACUACGUG